AUGAAACUGAAGGCCUCAUUUAUGCUAGGCUCAGAGAAACACAACAAACUACACUUGCUGCAUGCCUCUUUGGAGACAUAAUCCUGGCAACAACUCACAUAGCCCUUGGAGCAAGGGAAGAGCAGCACUUCCUACAGAAGAUGCCAGGAUCAUUACUGCCAACAGCAAUCAGGAUCCAUUCCUAGUCCACGAGAAGCUGGACUUCUAAAAAAGACUUGAAGAUGCAGGGCUCCUAGAAGCGCCCCCGAACAAGGACCCUAUCUGGAGGACGUGAUAAAGCUUAAAAUAAAGGGGAAGGAAUGGUGAAGAAAUGGAAAAGGUUGAAAAAGAUACAAGCCGUUCGACCGUUACAGAGUGCUCCCCCGGGACACCGCCAGCCUGCCAGUCCCUUUUCUCCCCAAACCCAACAUCCGCAGAAACGCGCAGGCGCAGCAGUAGAGGCUGCGCGUGGCGACGCGCAAGCGCAGAGUGGGUAGAAACAAUGAGCGGGGAUCAGGGGAAAAUGCACAGAACAGGGGGGAGGGGGGAAACAACUGACUGAAGAACGCAAGAAAGUGCUAUCCCGGCAACACUCGCGCGCCACAAAAGACCCGGACAGACGGCUGACUGUGCAAUCGAAAUCAUAAUGAAAUGAGAAAAAUGAACGACGGCCAUUUCGGAGAUAGAUGGAGCCUGCUCAUCCCUCAAACUCCGUAGAAAUGGGCCAGGAACAACCGAGGUCAAAGCCUACUCGAAGGCCCACAGCCUAGGCGGCCCUUUUACCCCCUUUAGCCUUCUCCGAGUGCGGCCUCUCGACCGCUGGGGUCGUCACGCCCUCACAACGGUCCGUCUGACAGGACCCCUCACCCAGUGCACGGCAGCGGGGACGGUAGCCAACGAAUCCUGUCGGCCUCCGCGGAUCUCCACAGGCAGCGCCGCUCCCCCGCUCGACGUGCGCUUUGCCCGCCGCCUCCCUUCUCCAGUCCAAACAAACACCCCUGCCCGGAAGUGACUUCACUUCCGUCACCGCCGGCCCCGCCCACCCAUUCUGUCUUUGCUUCCCAGCUAGGCCAAUAGAGGGCGCAAGAGAGAACGCGGCUCCGAAGGUCGGUGGCUCUUAUUCAGGUGUUCUGCAAAGACCUACCACGGGUUUUUCUAGUUCUGUUGACUUCUUUGAGGUAUGUGUGGCUCAUUUGCCAGCCCCACCAGACUGAUGUGAUUCUGUGGCUAUGGGAGCUGGGAACUAAGCCUGCAAGCAAGUGAACAAACCACUAAGCUGAAGUCCCACAAUCAUAGCCAACUGUAAGGGAAAAUUUGACUUUGUUGCUGCUGAGCAGGCAUAUAUAUAGUUUUGAGAGGAGAGACUGUCAUGAUUUGUCCAAAGGAUGCUGAUAGACUCUAGCAGACUAUAGUAGUGGUCUGCAACUAUAACCUUGGUCCUCAGAAAACAAGUCAAACUGUUGUUGAUGUGCACCUCAAAACCAAAGAGUGAGGAACCUGGAAAAUAAGUGAAAAACAAGUCUACGGUAGAAAGAACAGAAACCAAGACAUUUUUACAUAUUCUGCAAUUGGAGCUACUUACAACAAAAUAUGUCUAUAUAUUUGCCACAUCAGUGUGGGUACCUGAGUAUUUGAAUUGGAUUUAAAAGGUGGUUAGCUUUAUCUGAAGGCUCCUUUUUCCCAUCAGAAGAUACAUCCCCUAAAUUAGCAAGAUCGGUCUCAUCGCCCACUGAACUACCACUUUCUAGUAGUGCUGCAGCUUCUUCCUCAUCAACAAGCAGUUCAUCUUCAGAUUCAAGAAGCAUGCUGGGCUCCUGUUCUGUCUGGUCAUCCUUGGUGUCCUUCUCACCAUCCUCACCCGACUUCUCUUCUUGUUCUUUACCCUCAGCUGGACUCUCAGUCUUCUGAGCAUCAGUUUUGGACUUCUUAUCACUUGGAGAUUCUUUUCCAUCUGGAGAAUAGGAUCUUUUCCUGCAAAGAGACAUUUUGAUUGUGGAGUUGAAAUGUUAAAGCCUAGUAUAGCAGUAUACAUGGUUAAUACUGAUUCUAAUUUGGUAAUAUCUAUCUAAGACCAGGUCAGCUGCAGUGGUAAUAGCCACCCUAAAUGUGGGUCAUACCAUCCCAUGAAAUGCCUAAGGUUCCUGACUGAAUAAAAAGAACACAGUGAUCUGAAUGG
rnacentral:lncRNA from 1 species